rnacentral:rRNA from 1 species
UACGUAGGGUGCGAGCGUUGUCCGGAAUUAUUGGGCGUAAAGAGCUUGUAGGCGGUCUGUCGCGUCUGCUGUGAAAAUCCGGGGCUCAACCCGGACUUGCAGUGGGUACGGGCAGACUAGAGUGUGGUAGGGGAGACUGGAAUUCCUGGUGUAGCGGUGAAAUGCGCAGAUAUCAGGAGGAACACCGAUGGCGAAGGCAGGUCUCUGGGCCACUACUGACGCUGAGACGCGAAAGCGUGGGGGAGCAAACAGGG